rnacentral:rRNA from 1 species
GGCGGCGUGCCUAAUACAUGCAAGUAGAACGCUGAAGAGAGGAGCUUGCUCUUCUUGGAUGAGUUGCGAACGGGUGAGUAACGCGUAGGUAACCUGCCUGGUAGCGGGGGAUAACUAUUGGAAACGAUAGCUAAUACCGCAUAAAAUUGAUUAUUGCAUGAUAAUUAAUUGAAAGAUGCAAUUGCAUCACUACCAGAUGGACCUGCGUUGUAUUAGCUAGUUGGUGAGGUAACGGCUCACCAAGGCGACGAUACAUAGCCGACCUGAGAGGGUGAUCGGCCACACUGGGACUGAGACACGGCCCAGACUCCUACGGGAGGCAGCAGUAGGGAAUCUUCGGCAAUGGGGGGAACCCUGACCGAGCAACGCCGCGUGAGUGAAGAAGGUUUUCGGAUCGUAAAGCUCUGUUGUAAGAGAAGAAACGGGUGUGAGAGUGGAAAG